rnacentral:rRNA from 1 species
AUUGAACGCUGGCGGCAGGCCUAACACAUGCAAGUCGAACGGUAACAGGAAGCAGCUUGCUGCUUCGCUGACGAGUGGCGGACGGGUGAGUAAUGUCUGGGAAACUGCCUGAUGGAGGGGGAUAACUACUGGAAACGGUAGCUAAUACCGCAUAACGUCGCAAGACCAAAGAGGGGGACCUUAGGGCCUCUUGCCAUCGGAUGUGCCCAGAUGGGAUUAGCUAGUAGGUGGGGUAACGGCUCACCUAGGCGACGAUCCCUAGCUGGUCUGAGAGGAUGACCAGCCAAACUGGAACUGAGAAACGGUCCAGACUCCUACGGGAGGCAGCAGUGGGGAAUAUUGGACAAUGGGCGCAAGCCUGAUGCAGCCAUGCCGCGUGUAUGAAGAAGGCCUUCGGGUUGUAAAGUACUUUCAGCGGGGAGGAAGGGAGUAAAGUUAAUACCUUUGCUCAUUGACGUUACCCGCAGAAGAAGCACCGGCUAACUCCGUG